CUACGGGUGGCAGCAGUAGGGAAUCUUCCACAAUGGACGAAAGUCUGAUGGAGCGACACCGCGUGAAGGAUGAAGGUCUAACGAUUGUAAACUUCUUUUCUGAAGGAACAUAAUGAGGGUACUUCAGGAAUAAGGGACGGCUAAUUACGUGCCAGCAGCCGCGGUAAUACGUAAGUCCCGAGUGUUAUCCGGAAUUACUGGGUGUAAAGAGUUCGUAGGUGGUAAAAUAAGUUGGAUAUGAAAGGCCGAGGCUCAACCUCGUGUUUGUGUUCAAAACUAUUUUUCUAGAAUUAGGGAGAGGUAAGCGGAAUUCUAAGUGUAGGGGUGCAAUCCGUAGAUACUUAGAGGAACACCAAAAGCGAAGGCAGCUUACUGGAACUAUAUUGACGCUGAGGAACGAAAGUGUGGGUAGCGAAAAGGAUUAGAUACCCCGGUAGUC
rnacentral:rRNA from 1 species